rnacentral:rRNA from 1 species
AUUAAUCUAAUAUAGGAAUAGGGAUCCUAAUAAGCUUAUAAUAUGUAGUAAUGCGUUAUUUGCUAAUAAUAUUAAUACUUAGCGAUUAUUAUAUAGAUACCUAAUCACGCUCUUUAGAGGACCUAUUAUUUAGAAGGCAGCUUAAUAAGCAACUAUUACUACUUUAACUACUAAGGUAGAGCUCCUUACGCUUAAGUAAGUAAGUAAAGAAGUAAUAGCGUUAAAACGCUUUUUAACUAAAAUACACCUUACUUUAGAUACUACCUAGAUAAUUAAUUAUAAUAAUUAACAAACUAUUAGGUUAGUAGUAGGCAAUAAUAAAAGGAUUACUACUAAGCUACGCUAUGUGGAUAUUUAAAAUAUGUGGCUAAGACAAGAGUAUAUAAAGGGAUCUUUCUAUAUUACCUACCUACCUACUAGUAAUAUACUAGCUAAUAGGCUUACUAAAAACCUAACUAUAUAAUAAUUUAUAAGGUUUAGGGAGCACCUAAAGUUAUAUAAUAGUAGAGUAUAUAUUAUAUAGUAUUAAUUAAAGUAAGGUAGUAUAUAAGAUCUAUUAAUAUAUAAUAUAAGAAUAACUAACUAUAGCCUACCUCUCUAUUAUUAACUAGGUAGCUUCCCUAAGGAGCUUUAUUAUACGUAAGAAGCGUGCCUUAGAGUCUAUAGGGAGCUGCCUAGGUUACUCUAACCUAGGAUCUAUAGGGGGAACCUUAGAGGAGCUAAAGUCCUUAUCUUCUAAUAAGGAGCUCUAGGCGCCCUUAGCUAUAUUAUUAGCUUUGCGCGCAAGCUUAGUAGUAGUAGCAGCAGCUUUUACUAGCUCCUGCUGCUUAGCCUCGCUCUCCUUAAGGAGCACUAAGACCCUCUACUUCUUAUCCUUAAGAAGGUCUUAGCUCUUACCUACCUACUUUCUUACUAGGAAGGAUAGUAUAGAAUAUUAGGCAAGCUUAGGGCUAUUAGUUUGUUAGUAUAGAUCUUACUAAGCGUUAUAAAGGAAAAAUUCUUGUAUAGAUUAUAUAUAUUAGGAUAUAGCUAUACCUAGAGGAGCACUACUAGUACUAAGUCCCCCUACUAGAAGAGUUAUAGCACUUGCUAUUAGACUUAUUAAAGAGCGUAGAGCGUAGACAAUUUAGAUAAGUUUUAGUAUAAUAAAUGCUAGGCUCUCUGUAGUAGGAGGAUUCUUAGGGUCUCCUUAGGAGCUAGAGAGGGAGCAGGAGCAGGGAUAUAGGGUAGGGUCUAGGGAGGAGCAGGAACUAGAGUUAGAGCUAGAGUAGUAGGAGCUAGAGCAGGAGCGCCCUUCCUUAGCUUCGCGAUCUUAACUAUAGUAGCAGCAGCUACACGCUUAGCUACUACACACUCUAUAAUAGCCUUACGCUUAGUAGUAGCGCGCUCUUCUUUAGUAGUAGUAGCUUUAGUAACUAUAGCUUUAGCUGCGUAGGAGGUAAUAAGGGUAGCGUAGGCAGAGUAAGCGUAAGUAGUAGGUUUUAACUUUAACUAAGACACAGGUUAGCUAGGAUAUAGGUAUAGUUUAGAUCUUUAGGGUUAUAUAAUCUUAUAACUUAAGCUAUAGUAAAGAUUAUAGUUAGGUAGAUAGAGUUAUAGAGCUAAGUCUAGAUAAUAUCUACGCGCGUAAGCGCAGGCUAAACAAGGAAGGCGCGCUAGUUAGUAUCUAAAGGGUAAGCUAAUUUAACCCUUUAGAUAUAUAAACGCUCUAAUUAGCUACACUACCUACUAACUAUAAGCGUAACUACAAUAAUAAUAAAAGAUCUACCUAUACCUAGGGGGUGUGUUGCAGGAGGGAUAUUAACUAGAUCACAGAGCAUCUUAAUCUAAUUAAUCCUAAUUAAUACCCCUGUAUAACCCACUAUCUAAUCAACUGCUAGCUUACUACUAAGUGCCUAAUAAAAAGCAGGAGCUCUAGUAAGGAAGGUUUAGUAAUUAUUCACCUUCUAGUAAGGGUAGCUGAAGCUCUAUAUAUAUGAGUCCGAUCGUAGUAGAUACAAUCUAAUAAUCCAUCUCCCAAAUUAUUCCUAACCUUAGUAAUCUAAAUUUCCACAUUUCUGCCUAGUGCUCUAAAUAUUAAAGUAAAGAGAUUUAACUAAGCGUAGGUAAAUAGCAGGAGUAACUAUAACUCUCUUAAGGUAGCUAAAUACCUUAUUAUCUAAUUAGUAACGCGCAUAAAUAGAUUAACGAGAUUCCUACUAUCCCUAUCUACUAUCUAGCGAAACUAUAGCUAAGGGAACAGGCUUAGCUAAAUUAGCGGGGAAAGAAGACCCUAUUAAGCUUAACUCUAGUUUAAUAUUAUAAAAAGAUAUAGGGGGUGUAGAAUAGGUAGGAGCUUUAGCGCUAGUAAAAUACUACUACCCUUAUUAUUUUUUUACUUAUUUAAUAAAGCGGAGCUAGGCCUUACUACCUAACUUCUAGCGUUUAAGGUCCUUUAUAGGCUAAUCUAGGUUAAAGAUAUUAUUAGGUAGGGAGUUUAGCUAGGGUGGCACAUCUAUUAAACUAUAACGUAGGUGUCCUAAGGGGGACUUAUAGAGAAUAGAAAUCUCUAGUAGAGUAAAAGGGUAAAAGUCCCCUUAAUUUUAAUUUUUAGUGUAAAUACAAACUAUAAAAGUGUAGCCUAUUAAUCCUUUAGUCCCUUAAAAUUUAAGGCUAGAGGUGCUAGAAAAGUUACUAUAGGGAUAACUAGCUUGUGGCAGCUAAGCGUUUAUAGCAACGUUGCUUUUUAAUCCUUUAAUAUUAGCUCUUCCUAUUAUACUAAAGUAGAAUUUAGUAAGCGUUAGAUUAUUCACCUACUAAUAGGGAACGUAAGCUAGGUUUAGACUAUUGUAAGAUAGGUUAGUUUUACCCUACUAAUAACCUUGCCCUAAUAGUAAUACCGCUUAGUACAAGAGGAACCGCAGUUUUAGAUAAUUAGUUUUUGCAGCUAUCUAACUAGGCAUUGCCGCGAAGCUACUAUCUACUAGAUUAUAGCUAAACGCCUCUAAGUUAGAAUCUAUGCUAGAAUAGGGUGAUUUCUGCCUGCACUAGUUAGAUAUAAAUAGGCCUUUGGCCUAGAACCUUACUAGAUUAGCGUUAGCAGCCCUAUUAAAGUUAGGGUUGUUAGCUAGUAUAUUGUAAUUAUAUAGUGCGUAGGAUUAAAUCCUUUAUAGAUAACUUAGUUGUCUAGCUAGGUCGUGUAAGUAGUUAAGUAGCCUUGUUG